ACUUGUGCCCAGAGUUUGAUUUUCCACAGACCAGGUAGAGGCCAAGAGCCUCUCACAGACUCUGCAGCAGGGUUGCUAUGAUUAACUCUUAAGUACUCCACAACUACACGCUUUUGAAACUGGCGUUGGCAUAGCGUUAGUUCUGUGCAGGGCGGACGCAGCAGGACAGAAUCUCCCUGGGCAUCUUUUCGGAGCAUCAAUUUUACUGCAAAAUUUUGAAAAAACAAAUUUAAUUGAUUUCCAAGGAGCUUCUGUCACUGCAGAACCAGGGUCACCUGUGGAAAAUCCUUGCUGAAGCCAUCUCCCUGUCUGCCUGUCCCUCAGGCCCAGGAGUCAUGAGUCCUUUCUCCAAUAAGUCAUUCAGUUGGCUGGCAGCAAACCCUGGUUUGUCAAGGAGGACAGAAACUCAGAGCACCCUGCACUUGGGGAUCGGCACUAGGAGCUGCUCUCUGGAUGGGGAGAUGGGAGCUAGCAGCUCACAAUGGGGUCACAAGAAUAUUGGUUCUUCUUUUAUCUGAAGUGAGGAGCACCAGAGGACUGAUCACGGCAUAGACAUUGACUACAAGACUCUGAACUUGCUG
rnacentral:lncRNA from 1 species